AGGGCAAGUCUGGUGCCAGCAGCCGCGGUAAUUUCAGCUCCAAUAGCGUAUAUUAAAGUUGUUGCAGUUAAAAAGCUCGUAGUUGAAUUUCGGGGUUAGUAGGUUGGUCAUGCCACUGGUAUGUACUGAUCUUACUGAUUCCUCCUUCCUGAUGAACCGUAAUGCCAUUAAUUUGGUGUUGCGGGGAGACUGGACUGUUACUUUGAAAAAAUUAGAGUGUUUAAAGCAGGCUAACGCUUGAAUACAUUAGCAUGGAAUAAUGAAAUAGGACGUUCGAUCCUAUUUUGUUGGUUUCUAGGAUUGACGUAAUGAUUAAUAGGGAUAGUUGGGGGCAUUAGUAUUCAAUUGUCAGAGGUGAAAUUCUUGGAUUUAUUGAAGACUAACUACUGCGAAAGCAUUUGCCAAGGAUGUUUUCAUUAAUCAAGAACGAAAGUUGGGGGAUCGAAGACGAUCAGAUACCGUCGUAGUCUUAACCAUAAACUAUGCCGACUAGGGAUCGGAUGAUGUUAAUUUUUUAAUGACUCAUUCGGCGCCUUACGGGAA
rnacentral:rRNA from 1 species